GCACACGCUCCGGCCGUGGAAUCCACGCGUUUUUGGAUUCCACUAGACCAUGAGGCGCUAUAAAACCAAGCGCUCAAGUUAAAAUGUGUUAGAUAACGUUUAAAAUGCGUUUAAUACAAGUAAAGGUAAUAAAUAAACACAUAAGAUGCCAAAUGGAUGCCACAUUCCAGACACGUCCGCCAUCUUGGAACGGUCAACAUUUCACAGAGGAUUCCACUGGGGCAGUUUGGGAGCGAUCUGUCCGUUUGGAGAAAUGGGAGGCGUCAGUUCUGACUGUAAGAGAACACAAUGAUAUCAUCAUCAUCACACGGAUCCGACAGAAACUGGAGUACGAGUGUGUUCCCUAAGUGUGCUCUCAGAACUCCACAGACAGGAAGUCCAGUGCCACUGAAACUUCCUGUUUUGGCUGAAGCGAUUGGAAAGUCUGUGCUGUAUAAUCAG